GCUGGUCAUGGUGGUGCAUGCCUAUAAUCCCAGCAACUUGGGAGGCUGAGGCAGGAGGAUUGUAAGUUCAAGGCUAGCCUCAGCCACUUAGCAAGACCCUGCCUCAA
rnacentral:sRNA from 1 species